CCCGCUGAACUUAAGCAUAUCAAUAAGCGGAGGAAAAGAAACUAACAAGGAUUCCCCUAGUAACUGCGAGUGAAGCGGGAAAAGCUCAAAUUUAAAAUCUGGCGGUCUUUCGGCCGUCCGAGUUGUAAUCUGGAGAAGCGUUUAUCCGCGUUGGACCGUGUACAAGUCUUCUGGAAGGGAGCGUCAUAGAGGGUGAGAAUCCCGUCUUUGACACGGACUACCAAUGCUUUUGUGAUGCGCUCUCGAAGAGUCGAGUUGUUUGGGAAUGCAGCUCAAAAUGGGUGGUAAAUUCCAUCUAAAGCUAAAUAUUGGGGAGAGACCGAUAGCGAACAAGUACCGUGAGGGAAAGAUGAAAAGAACUUUGGAAAGAGAGUUAAACAGUACGUGAAAUUGCUGAAAGGGAAACGCUUGAAGUCAGUCGCGUCGUUCAGGACUCAGCCUUGCUUUGCUUGGUGUACUUUCUGUUCGACGGGUCAGCAUCAAUUUUGGUCGGUGGAUAAAGGCUCAGAGAAUGUGGCAUCUUCGGGUGUGUUAUAGCUCUGGGUCGCAUACAUCGGCUGGGAUUGAGGAACUCAGCACGCCGCAAGGCCGGGUACUUGUACCACGUACGUGCUUAGGAUGCUGGCAUAAUGGCUUUAAUCGACCCGUCUUGAAACACGG
rnacentral:rRNA from 1 species